rnacentral:rRNA from 1 species
UACGUAGGGCGCGAGCGUUGUCCGGAAUUAUUGGGCGUAAAGAGCUCGUAGGCGGCCUGUUGCGUCUGCUGUGAAAUCCCGGGGCUUAACCCCGGGCGUGCAGUGGAUACGGGCAGGCUGGAGGCAGGCAGGGGAGAAUGGAACUCCGAGUGUAGAGGUGAAAUUCGUAGAUAUUCGGAAGAACACCAGUGGCGAAGGCGACACACUGGCCCGAUACUGACGCUGAGGCGCGAAAGCGUGGGGAGCAAACAGG